GAUGAAGAACGUAGCGAAAUGCGAUAAGUAAUGUGAAUUGCAGAAUUCAGUGAAUCAUCGAAUCUUUGAACGCACAUUGCGCCCCCUGGUAUUCCGGGGGGCAUGCCUGUCCGAGCGUCAUUACAACCCUCAAGCUCAGCUUGGUGUUGGGCCCCGCCGCCCCGGCGGGCCCUAAAGUCAGUGGCGGUGCCGUCCGGCUCCGAGCGUAGUAAUUCUUCUCGCUCUGGAGGUCCGGUCGUGUGCUCGCCAGCAACCCCCAAUUUUUUUCAGGUUGAACUCGGAUCAGGUAGGGAUACCCGCUGAACUUAAGCAUAUCAAUAAGCGGAGGA
rnacentral:misc_RNA from 1 species